UUGAAUGGGACUUUUUCCAAAUUAUUAUCAGAUGAUUGGAACAUACCCAAUGGAUUAUACUUUAUUUCAAUCCCAUGUAGAAAGUAGGGUAAAGAAUGAGGGAAAUACCACAUACUUAUUUAUGUUAUUUGAUCUACUGAAAAAUAACUAAACCUGUUUGAUCUAAAAGUAGACAGGAUGGAAAGCAUCCCUUCCCCCAACUACAUGCAUGGCCCAAUAGUGCUGGGUAAACAAAAUGAUGCUCAGAGAGAAAAUAGGAAGUUUAGUUCAAAAGCAGACAAGUCUUAGUUACUUGACCAUUAGAGAAAUAAAUGUCCAGAAAACUUAGAAGACAAACUGGUGAUUCAGUUUAAAGAAAAUAUUCUAUAAAUGCCUAAACAUCAAGUAUGGUCUGGCUUCAAAAGGACUCGUGGCCAUGGGAGCUCAAUGGCAUAUAUGUCUCUACACAGAUCUACAGAGGGGGCAGCCUGUUCUUUUGCUGUCUUGUGGCCUCUUACCUCUUACUAAGAACAAAAGUUGAUUCUAAUGUACCACGAAGAAAAUGAAGAACCUUAAGAUAAUCUUGAAAAUAAAACAACUAUGAGAAAACUAACAUUUUUUUCAAAACCUAGACUUAAAAUGCAAGAUAGCUAAAAGAAAUACAGAAAAUAAGGGAAUUAUUAUUGUCCAUACUUAUGGGUAACAAAUUGUCAUUGAAGAUUCUAAAGGAAUAUGGACAAUAAAAAGGAAUAUAUUCUUAGCAGGAGAGUGUUAUUUUUCUUCUUACACCAUCAAUCCUUCCUUAGUACAGUAUACUACCUAAUCACUAGUCAUGGUUUUAUGACUAAGGGAAGCACAGCUCCAAUUUGUCAUAUCCCUGCUGGUCUUUAGCACAAACCUGAACAUCAUCUUCAGGGAGGAGCCUAACUUAACUAGACUGUUCAUCCAAUCCUCUAUUCUCAGAUGCUGGACUCCUUGAGAGAAAACACACUUUAUUACUAUCUGGUAUCCCCAACAUCAAAAGCAUUUCCCAAUGUGUCAUGUUUCUUAAUAAACACUGCAUGUCCCAAUAGGGAAAAGAGUUUUAAAAAAAACUACAAAAAGAAGAUUUUAAAGAACUUCUGAUUUUACAGGGCUGGGAAUAUGGCCUAGUGGCAAAAGUGCUUACCUCCUAU